UCCCUGUUACCAGGGCAGUCUGAUUAGAAAAAUUCAACUAAUCACAAGGGUUGCGCUCGUUGAUGGACUUAACCAAACAUCUCACGACACGAGCUGACGACGGCCAUGCAGCACCUGUCACUGCGCUCUAAAAGCACUUUCUUCUUUCGAAGAAAUUCGCAGGAUGUCAAACCUGGGUAAGGUUCUUCGCUUACCAUCGAAUUAAACAACACACUCCACCGCUUGUGCGGGUCCCCGUCAAUUCCUUUAUGUUUUAGUCUUGCGACCGUACUCCACAGGCGGGAUGCUUAACGCGUUAGCUUCGCUACAUCCGGGGUCGAUACCGAAUACAGCUAGCAUCCAUCGUUUACGGCGUGGACUAC
rnacentral:misc_RNA from 1 species